AAAUGCACGAAACAGAAAGAGACAUAGAGAAAUCAGAACGCAGCUUAAAAGUUCCACCGCUACGAUUCAUUUCUACAUGCGCUCUUCAAACCUUUUCCGUAUAUAAAUUUUCAAACAUACGUAUAAUUGAAAUAAACUGGAUAUUGAAUUACAGAAUGAGGAAUCACGGUAUCGUAGAAUAUGACAUAGCUUACUAAACUUGG